rnacentral:rRNA from 1 species
CAUGCAAGUCGAACGGAAAGGCCCUUCGGGGUACUCGAGUGGCGAACGGGUGAGUAACACGUGGGUGAUCUGCCCUGCACUUUGGGAUAAGCCUGGGAAACUGGGUCUAAUACCGGAUAGGACCAUGGCCUUCAUGGGUUGUGGUGGAAAGCUUUUGCGGUGUGGGAUGGGCCCGCGGCCUAUCAGCUUGUUGGUGGGGUAAUGGCCUACCAAGGCGACGACGGGUAGCCGGCCUGAGAGGGUGUCCGGCCACACUGGGACUGAGAUACGGCCCAGACUCCUACGGGAGGCAGCAGUGGGGAAUAUUGCACAAUGGGCGCAAGCCUGAUGCAGCGACGCCGCGUGAGGGAUGACGGCCUUCGGGUUGUAAACCUCUUUCAGUAGGGACGAAGCGUAAGUGACGGUACCUAUAGAAGAAGCACCGGCCAACUACGUGCCAGCAGCCGCGGUAAUACGUAGGGUGCGAGCGUUGUCCGGAAUUACUGGGCGUAAAGAGCUCGUAGGUGGUUUGUCGCGUUGUUCGUGAAAACUCACA